rnacentral:rRNA from 1 species
UUGGAGGGCAAGUCUGGUGCCAGCAGCCGCGGUAAUUCCAGCUCCAAUAGCGUAUAUUAAAGUUGUUGCAGUUAAAAAGCUCGUAGUUGAAUUUCGGGGUUAGUAGGUUGGUCAUGCCUCCGGUAUGUACUGGUCUCACUGAUUCCUCCUUCCUGAUGAACCGUAAUGCCAUUAAUUUGGUGUUGCGGGGAAUUUGGACUGUUACUUUGAAAAAAUUAGAGUGUUUAAAGCAAGCUAACGCUUGAAUACAUUAGCGUGGAAUAAUGAAAUAGGACGUUCGAUCCUAUUUUGUUGGUUUCUAGGAUUGACGUAAUGAUUAAUAGGGAUAGUUGGGGGCAUUAGUAUUCAAUUGUCAGAGGUGAAAUUCUUGGAUUUAUUGAAGACUAGCUACUGCGAAAGCAUUUGCCAAGGAUGUUUUCAUUAAUCAAGAACGAAAGUUAGGGGAUCGAAGACGAUCAGAUACCGUCGUAGUCUUAACCAUAAACUAUGCCGACUAGGGAUCGGAUGAUGAUAAUUUUUUAAUGACUCAUUCGGCGCCUUACGGGAAACCAAAGUGUUUGGGUUC